rnacentral:rRNA from 1 species
GUUCUGUAAGCCUGUGAAGGUGUACUGUGAGGUAUGCUGGAGGUAUCAGAAGUGCGAAUGCUGACAUAAGUAACGAUAAAGCGGGUGAAAAGCCCGCUCGCCGGAAGACCAAGGGUUCCUGUCCAACGUUAAUCGGGGCAGGGUGAGUCGACCCCUAAGGCGAGGCCGAAAGGCGUAGUCGAUGGGAAACAGGUUAAUAUUCCUGUACUUGGUGUUACUGCGAAGGGGGGACGGAGAAGGCUAUGUUGGCCGGGCGACGGUUGUCCCGGUUUAAGCGUGUAGGCUGGUUUUCCAGGCAAAUCCGGAAAAUCAAGGCUGAGGCGUGAUGACGAGGCACUACGGUGCUGAAGCAACAAAUG